UACAUGAAACACUAAGGUCAAAGACUAAGCCAUGCAUAUCCGAGUACAACUCAAGUGUGUGAAACUAUAUUAAUCUCCAUAAUGCAUUUGCUAUGUUAAGAGGCUCCAAUCUCAGUGGGAGAAGGACAGUCGCGGCAACCCCGGGACUAAUCCACUAGAUUGCGUGAUUGCACAUGAAUCACUCCCAGCCCUUCAGCAAGGCUCUCUUAACAGCGAAUGUCCUAUCAGGUAGUUGGUGGGGUAAUGGCCUACCAAGCCUAUGACGGGUAACGGGCGGUAUAUGUCGAACUGCCGGAGAAGACGCCUUAGAAACUGCGACUAUGUCUACGGACAGCAGCAGGCGCGAAACUUACACACUCGAGACACUCGGACGUGGUUAUUGACCUGUCGGGAGCAACGCCUUUGGCGACCCUGACUGCAAUGGACUAGCCACCCAUUGCCUUACUAGAGGGACAGUCUGGUGCCAGCAGCCGCGGUAAUACCAGCUCUAGUAGUGUAUCCUUAUAUGUUGCAGUUGCACACACGAAGCCACGGUUGAAUGCAUGUUGAGAGCUUGCUCUCCUCACUGUGAGUAAACCACUAUGCUUAGAAUUAAGGCCCAAACCACCUUGUUCUUCGCAAUAUGUAUGAUGCCUGCUUGCAGGAGUGUUCAUACUAUGACCAUAAGAGACGUAAUCCAUAUUCCAGGGCGAGCGGUGAAAUGUGUUGACCCUUGGAAGAUGACCAAAGGCGAAAGCAGGUUGCGAUCUUAUUGGUGUCGGUCUAGUGUGGAGCUUGUGAGAGAGAACUGGAUUAGAGACCCAGGUAUCCACAAGCGCAAAGAAGAACAACUCACCAAUCCCGCAAGGGGGAGGUAGUUGAGAAAUCGUAUGUUCUUGGUUUCCGGGGGAACUACGACUGCAAGGUUGAAACUUAAAGGAAUUGACGGAAGCGCACACAAGGAGUGGAGCCUGUGGCUCAAUUUGAAUCAACACGAGGAAACUUACCUGCCCAUGAGGUAAUCUAUGACUUUAACUUUUACUUAGGAAACUGGAUGAUAUUAGUGGUGGUGCAUGGCCGUUGGUAGUGUGUAAGGUGAUUUGCGAAGUUAAUUCUAGUAACAAUCGAGACUGCAGCCCGUCUAACGGGGAUUCCCAGGCAGAACUGGGUGAAAGUGCAGCAAUAACAGGUCCGUGAUGUCCUUUAGAUGAGUGGGGCUGCACGCGUGCAACAAUGCCCCGGAGAAGAUGUAGAUGUAGAUGAAAUUCGAAGCAAGAUGAUAUCCGGAUGACGUAGAGGGGAUUGUAUAGUGGAAUGCUAUACAUGAACAAGGAAUUCCUAGUAAAAGUAAGUCAAUACCGUGCUGUGAUUAUGUCCCUGCGCUUUGUACACACCGCCCGUCGCUCCUUCUAAGGUAUGCAAACACGAGGUCCUUUGCGAUAAAUUCAAUGGGGAACAAAUGUGCGUAUAUCGAAGAAGGAGAAGUCGUAACAAGGUACGA
rnacentral:rRNA from 1 species